rnacentral:lncRNA from 1 species
CAAUUAACCUCUCAACAAUUACUCCAAAAGACGAAACUGAUUUCACAAAACCAAAACGCACGUACAGAUAAAUUAAACGCAAUCCAGAAAUCAAGGAUUAUCCUAUCCAAAGUGCAACGAAAAAAAUAAUUAUAUAAUCUUAUAAAAACCAAUAAAGUCAAAAAAGAAAAAGAAAUAAUCGUACCCGUCAAGCAAAAAAAAAGCGGAAGUUGAGAUUGUCGUGUGUUUCUUUCUUCUUACGUUGGAGAUUCUGAGCUUGAAGUGUUUCGUUCACCUUUUAGAGAGAGAGGCUUGUGUUGUGUUUGUGUGAGAGUAGCAAAAACCAAGGAAAUAGCACUUUAGACGCCAAGAGCGG